rnacentral:rRNA from 1 species
AUUGAACGCUGGCGGCAGGCCUAACACAUGCAAGUCGAGCGAGCGGCGGACGGGUGAGUAAUGUCUGGGAAACUGCCUGAUGGAGGGGGAUAACUACUGGAAAAGGUAGCUAAUACCGCAUACCAUCAGAUGUGCCCAGACGGGAUUAGCUGGUAGGGGGGGUAACGGCCCACCUGGGCGACAAACCCUAGCUGGUCUGUGAGGAUGACCGGCCACACUGGAACUGUGAGACGGUCCAGACUCCUACGGUAGGCAGCAGUGGGGAAUAUUGCACAAUGGGCGCAAGCCUGAUGCAGCCAUGCCGCGUGUGUGAAGAAGGCCUUCGGUUUUUAAAGCACUUUCAGCGGGGAGGCGUUACCCGCAGAAGAAGCACCGGCUAACUCCGUGCCAGCAGCCGCGGUAAUAC